rnacentral:rRNA from 1 species
AUUGAACGCUAGCGGGAUGCCUAACACAUGCAAGUCGAACGGAGUGGCGAACGGGUGAGUAAUGUAUCGGAAUGUGCCCAGUAGCGGGGGAUAACUACGCGAAAGCGGAGCUAAUACCGCAUACUAUUGGAGCGGCCGCUAUCGGAUUAGCUAGUUGGUGGGGGAACGGCUCACAAAGGCGACGAUCCGUAGCUGGUUUGAGAGGACGACCAGCAACACUGGAACUGAGACACGGCCCAGACUCCUACGGGAGGCAGCAGUGGGGAAUUUUGGACAAUGGGGGAAACCCUGAUCCAGCCAUCCCGCGUGUGCGAUGAAGGCCUUCGGGUUGUAAAGCACUUUUAGCAGGAAAGCGGUACCUGCAUAAUAAGCACCGGCUAACUACGUGCCAGCAGCCGCGGUAAUAC